GUUUGCAGGUUUUUAGGUGGGAGAUGCUUGACUUCUGGAGUUCGCCGUGCUGAGCAAGAGGAAGCAGGGCGCAGCGACUCCAAGUCAGACAACCGCCCCGAGGUUUGCAACCUUAGCAUUCGUCUUUCCCAGGGGGAAAAGCCUUUCCUGGAGCCAUCAGCUUCCCCCAUCAGGAGCACUGACUCAGCCGGGUCAGAAAAGAGAUCGCAAAACGUUUUCCCUCUGGAAAAUGGAUUUACAUAGGAAGGGGAGCCUUCGGGCUAAUAUUUACAUCCAUCUUUCAAUCGGGCUGCUCACGUUACUCAGCGUCACCUGGACUUCAAACACUUCUCUCCAGCAAGUAUAGGUGUUACCAUCAGCUACUUGAAGGAACAAAUGUGGUUGUGUAACCCCAGGGCCUACGGGGAAUGUGGCAGCAACUGAAGCCAAAUUAUAACCAUUUUCUGAACCAAAAACCUGGAAAGCAAAUAGCAGAGGUACUCUGUGAUCCAGAAUUUUGUUAACCCUCCGACCAAAAUAUAUCCAGUCCCUUCUGACUUGAAAGACUCUGCUCACAAGGGGUUCUGGCCCAAGACCAGGCCCCACCUGACCGCAGAGGGCAGGUGAGGGCUGCCCGCUUAAACCUGACCGUUGACCAAGAAUAAAGAAGCUGGUGUCAGAACCUUGACCGGCCGCAAGGCUCCUCGUUCUGGUUGCAGCCUAACUGACCCUGGGAGCUCCUCCCAGCACUGGCCCCGACGGCGACGUCAGAAACUCAGCCUCCUUCGUCUUUGUGUCUUCUGAGGGGUCAGUCACUGAGGCCCCGCUCCUGCGUUCAGCCUCUGCCUCGCUCAGGCCCCUGCCUCCUGUUUGGCUCGUUCCAGCAGCUUCCGACGGUCCCAGGCAGUCCCUCAUUAGGCCAGGCCCCACAGCAGCCCUCUCUUCCCGAGGCUCCGGCCUCGCCCUCCUGAAACCCUCAGUGGUCAGGGGGUCAUAAACCAUAAAUGGCCUCAGGCCAAGCGGGGACCCGGGCCCGGUGACGCCACACUUCCAGGUUUUUCUAGAAAAGCCAGAUAUUUGAACUUUUCGUGACUCUCUUGAUUUUUAAAUGUUAGCCACUAAUUAAGAAAAAACAAACAAACAAAAAUAAAAAACGAAAAAUCCUGUAUGAGCCAAACAAAAUACAUCUCUGGACCAGACUGACCCACAGGCCAUCCGUUUGCAACUUCUGGGCUCCAGAAUAGAGUCCAAAUGUCCUGGGACAUCCCCCUGGGGAGGAGACAUCUGAGCUGAGCUCUGAGAGUAAGUCGAAGUCCCCCAGGUGAGGAUGGGGCACUGCAC
rnacentral:lncRNA from 1 species